CACGUAGGCGGCUACUCAAGUCAGAGGUGAAAGCCCGGAGCUCAACUUCGGAACUGCCUUUGAAACUAGGUAGCUAGAAUCUUGGAGAGGUCAGUGGAAUUCCGAGUGUAGAGGUGAAAUUCGUAGAUAUUCGGAAGAACACCAGUGGCGAAGGCGACUGACUGGACAAGUAUUGACGCUGAGGUGCGAAAGCGUGGGGAGCAAACAGGA
rnacentral:rRNA from 1 species